rnacentral:rRNA from 1 species
GUGGGGAAUUUUGGACAAUGGGCGAAAGCCUGAUCCAGCCAUGCCGCGUGUGUGAAGAAGGUCUUCGGAUUGUAAAGCACUUUAAGUUGGGAGGAAGGGCAGUAAGUUAAUACCUUGCUGUUUUGACGUUACCAACAGAAUAAGCACCGGCUAACUUCGUGCCAGCAGCCGCGGUAAUACGAAGGGUGCAAGCGUUAAUCGGAAUUACUGGGCGUAAAGCGCGCGUAGGUGGUUCAGCAAGUUGAAGGUGAAAUCCCCGGGCUCAACCUGGGAACUGCCUCCAAAACUACUGAGCUAGAGUACGGUAGAGGGUAGUGGAAUUUCCUGUGUAGCGGUGAAAUGCGUAGAUAUAGGAAGGAACACCAGUGGCGAAGGCGACUACCUGGACUGAUACUGACACUGAGGUGCGAAAGCGUGGGGAGCAAACAGGAUUAGAAACCCGAGUAGUCC